rnacentral:rRNA from 1 species
GAACGGGUGAGUAACACGUGAGCAUCUGCCCUUCACUCGCGGAUAACUACCGGAAACGGUGGCUAAUACGUGAUGCGACCGCUUCCUGCAUGGGAUGGUGGUGGAAAGUUUUGGCGGUGGGGGAUGAGCUCGCGGCCUAUCAGCUUGUUGGUGAGGUAAUGGCUUACCAAGGCUUCGACGGGUAGCCGGCCUGAGAGGGUGACCGGCCACACUGGGACUGAGACACGGCCCAGACUCCUACGGGAGGCAGCAGUGGGGAAUAUUGGACAAUGGGCGAAAGCCUGAUCCAGCAACGCCGCGUGAGGGAUGACGGCCUUCGGGUUGUAAACCUCUUUCAGUACCGACGAAGCGCAAGUGACGGUAGGUACAGAAGAAGCACCGGCCAACUACGUGCCAGCAGCCGCGGUAAUACGUAGGGUGCGAGCGUUGUCCGGAAUUAUUGGGCGUAAAGGGCUCGUAGGCGGUUUGUCACGUCGGGAGUGAAAACUCGGGGCUUAACUCCGAGCCUGCUUCCGAUACGGGCUGACUAGAGGUAUGCAGGGGAGAACGGAAUUCCUGGUGUAGCGGUGAAAUGCGCAGAUAUCAGGAGGAACACCGGUGGCGAAGGCGGUUCUCUGGGCAUUACCUGACGCUGAGGAGCGAAAGUGUGGGGAGCGAACAGGAUUAGAUACCCUGGUAGU